GUACACGAGCGGCGAACGGGUGAGUAACACGUGGGUGAUCUGCCUUGCACUCUGGGAUAAGCCUGGGAAACUGGGUCUAAUACCGGAUAUGACCUGCAGUUGCAUGACUGUGGGUGGAAAGAUUUAUCGGUGCAAGAUGAGCCCGCGGCCUAUCAGCUUGUUGGUGGGGUAAUGGCCUACCAAGGCGACGACGGGUAGCCGGCCUGAGAGGGCGACCGGCCACACUGGGACUGAGACACGGCCCAGACUCCUACGGGAGGCAGCAGUGGGGAAUAUUGCACAAUGGGCGGAAGCCUGAUGCAGCGACGCCGCGUGAGGGAUGACGGCCUUCGGGUUGUAAACCUCUUUCGACUCCGACGAAGCGAAAGUGACGGUAGGAGUAUAAGAAGCACCGGCCAACUACGUGCCAGCAGCCGCGGUAAUACGUAGGGUGCGAGCGUUGUCCGGAAUUACUGGGCGUAAAGAGCUUGUAGGCGGUCUGUCGCGUCUUCUGUGAAAACUUGGGGCUCAACCUUAAGCUUGCAGGCGAUACGGGCAGACUAGAGUACUUCAGGGGAGACUGGAAUUCCUGGUGUAGCGGUGAAAUGCGCAGAUAUCAGGAGGAACACCGGUGGCGAAGGCGGGUCUCUGGGAAGUAACUGACGCUGAGAAGCGAAAGCAUGGGUAGCGAACAGGAUUAGAUACCCUGGUAGUCCAUGCCGUAAACGGUG
rnacentral:rRNA from 1 species